rnacentral:rRNA from 1 species
UACGUAGGGUGCAAGCGUUAAUCGGAAUUACUGGGCGUAAAGCGUGCGCAGGCGGUUGUGCAAGACAGAUGUGAAAUCCCCGGGCUUAACCUGGGAACUGCAUUUGUGACUGCACGGCUAGAGUGUGUCAGAGGGGGGGUAGAAUUCCACGUGUAGCAGUGAAAUGCGUAGAUAUGUGGAGGAAUACCGAUGGCGAAGGCAGCCCCCUGGGAUGACACUGACGCUCAUGCACGAAAGCGUGGGGAGCAAACAGG